AUUGAACGCUGGCGGCAUGCCUAACACAUGCAAGUCGAGCGAGCGGCGAACGGGUGAGUAAUGUAUGGGGACUGCCCGAUAUAGGGGGAUAACUACUGGGAACGGUAGCUAAUACCCCAUACUAUCGGAUAACCCAUAUGGGCGUAGCUAGUAGGUGGGGUAAUGGCUCACCUAGGCGACGAUCCCUAGCUGGUCGGCGAGGAUGAUCAGCCAAACGGGGACUUAGAAACGGCCCACAGUCCUACGGAGGACGGAGGGGGGAAUAGUGGACAAUGGGCGAAAGCCUGAUGCAUCCAUGCGGCGUGUAUGAAGAAGGCCCUAGGGUUUUAAAGUACUUUCAGUCGGGAGGCGUUACCGACAGAAGAAGCACCGGCUAACUCCGUGCCAGCAGCCGCGGUAAUUC
rnacentral:rRNA from 1 species